CUGUCAUGUUUUAGAUCAGUGGUUCUCAAGCAUAUAGGCCUUGGGAUUCCAUUACAUUCCUACAAGUUCUUGAAUACCCUACAGAGCCUUUGUUAAUGAGAUUUGUGACUGCUAGAAAAUUUAAAAAUGUAAUUUAUUUAAAACGACAGUAAUAAAACCAUUACAUGCUAGCAAAAAACACUUUUUAAAAAAAAAUUGUUUUUGUUAAUCCUUAUCCAAUGAUAUUUUUUCCAUUGCUUUUUAGAGAGAGUGAAAGAGGGGGAGUGGGAGAGACAAACAUUGAUGUGAGAGAGACCCAUUGAUUGGUUGCCUCCCUCAGACACAGGCCAGUAAGCCAGAACAAUUAAAAUAGGGAAAAAGAUAGAUAGCUAAACAAAAGGACAGAGCAAUUUACAGGAGAUACAGGGGUCAUCUCCCUGGAAGUAGCAUCUGGACCUCAGUUGUAUUUCAGCUCCAGACCUAUAAAAGUAGCAAAACCAGGUGGGUAACACCAGGACCAUCUGACACCAGUCAGAGGAGACCACAGCCCUGGAGGAGCACACCUAGAAAACCAGAAUAUUCUGCUACCCCUCUCCUAAGAUUUUCAUCUGCUGAGAAGAAGCUAAGACCUCAAGACAAAGUACCCAGUGUGUGCUCUCCCCCACCCCAGCCAUUCCCUUUUCUUCUCCCCCCAUUUCUCCCACAGGCAUGCAUUUCCUGUGGGCCUUAUUAUUUGGUAGGGCUCUGCCAAGGCAUUAAGGGUGAGUUAAUUAAAUGUUGGAUCAAAUAUAGCAGGCUAAUUUUUAAGUUGAUAAUUUUGUAUGGCUCUUGGAUGGUUUAUAAAUACCCAGGAGCCCAUGGCAGAAUAAAGGUUCCUCACCCCAGGAGACUUGCAACCAGAGGAGCAACGGGCAGCAGCAGCUUGUCCCAGGCUAACCCCUGAAGCUGAUCCCAAAGUCUUUUUUCUGAUUUCCCAGAGGCUAAGGCAGAACAGCCUAGGCCAGUGUUGCUUCUAUGUUAAUCCCUUGCUUGUUUACAUCUCCAGCUUUAAUAAAUGUUCCCUCAUAGUCA